rnacentral:rRNA from 1 species
AUUGAACGCUGGCGGCAGGCCUAACACAUGCAAGUCGAGCGGCUGAAGAGUGCUUGCUCCUGGUUUCAGCGGCGGACUGGUGGGUAAUUCCUGGGAAUCUGCCUGUUAGUUUGGGCUAACGUCCGGACGCGGGCGCUCAUACCGCAUUCGUCCAGAGGGCGAACGGGUGGGAUCUUCGGACCUCCCGCUAUCAGAUGAGCCUAGGUCGGAUUAGCUAGUUGGUGGGGUAAAGGCCUACCAAGGCGACGAUCCGUAACUGGUCUGAGAGGAUGAUCAGUCACACUGGAACUGAGACACGGUCCAGACUCCUACGGGAGGCAGCAGUGGGGAAUAUUGGACAAUGGGCGAAAGCCUGAUCCAGCCAUGCCGCGUGUGUGAAGAAGGUCUUCGGAUUGUAAAGCACUUUAGUUGGGGAGGAAGGGCAGUAAGUUAAUACCUUGCUGUUUUGACGUUACCAACAGAAUAAGCACCGGCUAACUUCGUG